rnacentral:tRNA from 1 species
GUCCCCUUAGCUCAUUUGGAUAGAGCGUCUGCCUCCGGAGCAGAAGGUGGUGGGUUCGAGCCCCGCAGGGGACGCCA